rnacentral:rRNA from 1 species
GGGUUGUGAGGUUAAGCGACUAAGCGUACACGGUGGAUGCCCUGGCAGUCAGAGGCGAUGAAGGACGUGCUAAUCUGCGAAAAGCGUCGGUAAGGUGAUAUGAACCGUUAUAACCGGCGAUGUCCGAAUGGGGAAACCCAGUGCAAUUCGUUGCACUAUCGUUAACUGAAUACAUAGGUUAACGAGGCGAACCGGGGGAACUGAAACAUCUAAGUACCCCGAGGAAAAGAAAUCAACCGAGAUUCCCCCAGUAGCGGCGAGCGAACGGGGAGCAGCCCAGAGUCUGAAUCAGCUUGUGUGUUAGUGGAACGGUCUGGAAAGUCCGACGGUACAGGGUGAUAGUCCCGUACACCAAAAUGCACAGGCUGUGAACUCGAAGAGUAGGGCGGGACACGUGGUAUCCUGUCUGAAUAUGGGGGGACCAUCCUCCAAGGCUAAAUACUCCUGACUGACCGAUAGUGAACCAGUACCGUGAGGGAAAGGCGAAAAGAACCCCGGCGAGGGGAGUGAAAAAGAACCUGAAACCGUGUACGUACAAGCAGUGGGAGCACCUUUAUGGUGUGACUGCGUACCUUUUGUAUAAUGGGUCAGCGACUUAUAUUCUGUAGCAAGGUUAACCGUAUAGGGGAGCCGCAGGGAAACCGAGUCUUAACUGGGCGUUAAGUUGCAGGGUAUAGACCCGAAACCCGGUGAUCUAGCCAUGGGCAGGUUGAAGGUUGGGUAACACUAACUGGAGGACCGAACCGACUAAUGUUGAAAAAUUAGCGGAUGACUUGUGGCUGGGGGUGAAAGGCCAAUCAAACCGGGAGAUAGCUGGUUCUCCCCGAAAGCUAUUUAGGUAGCGCCUCGUGAACUCAUCUUCGGGGGUAGAGCACUGUUUCGGCUAGGGGGUCAUCCCGACUUACCAACCCGAUGCAAACUACGAAUACCGAAGAAUGUUAUCACGGGAGACACACGGCGGGUGCUAACGUCCGUCGUGAAGAGGGAAACAACCCAGACCGCCAGCUAAGGUCCCAAAGUCAUGGUUAAGUGGGAAACGAUGUGGGAAGGCACAGACAGCCAGGAUGUUGGCUUAGAAGCAGCCAUCAUUUAAAGAAAGCGUAAUAGCUCACUGGUCGAGUCGGCCUGCGCGGAAGAUGUAACGGGGCUAAACCAUGCACCGAAGCUGCGGCAGCGACACUAUGUGUUGUUGGGUAGGGGAGCGUUCUGUAAGCCUGCGAAGGUGUGCUGUGAGGCAUGCUGGAGGUAUCAGAAGUGCGAAUGCUGACAUAAGUAACGAUAAAGCGGGUGAAAAGCCCGCUCGCCGGAAGACCAAGGGUUCCUGUCCAACGUUAAUCGGGGCAGGGUGAGUCGACCCCUAAGGCGAGGCCGAAAGGCGUAGUCGAUGGGAAACAGGUUAAUAUUCCUGUACUUGGUGUUACUGCGAAGGGGGGACGGAGAAGGCUAUGUUAGCCGGGCGACGGUUGUCCCGGUUUAAGCAUGUAGGCUGAUUGUCCAGGCAAAUCCGGAUAAUCAAGGCUGAGGUGUGAUGACGAGGCACUACGGUGCUGAAGUAACAAAUGCCCUGCUUCCAGGAAAAGCCUCUAAGCAUCAGGUAACAUUAAAUCGUACCCCAAACCGACACAGGUGGUCAGGUAGAGAAUACCAAGGCGCUUGAGAGAACUCGGGUGAAGGAACUAGGCAAAAUGGUGCCGUAACUUCGGGAGAAGGCACGCUGGUGUGUAGGUGAAGUCCCUGCGGAUGGAGCUGAGACCAGUCGAAGAUACCAGCUGGCUGCAACUGUUUAUUAAAAACACAGCACUGUGCAAACACGAAAGUGGACGUAUACGGUGUGACGCCUGCCCGGUGCCGGAAGGUUAAUUGAUGGGGUUAUCCGUAAGGAGAAGCUCUUGAUCGAAGCCCCGGUAAACGGCGGCCGUAACUAUAACGGUCCUAAGGUAGCGAAAUUCCUUGUCGGGUAAGUUCCGACCUGCACGAAUGGCGUAAUGAUGGCCAGGCUGUCUCCACCCGAGACUCAGUGAAAUUGAACUCGCUGUGAAGAUGCAGUGUACCCGCGGCAAGACGGAAAGACCCCGUGAACCUUUACUAUAGCUUGACACUGAACAUUGAGCCUUGAUGUGUAGGAUAGGUGGGAGGCUUUGAAGCGUGGACGCCAGUCUGCGUGGAGCCAACCUUGAAAUACCACCCUUUAAUGUUUGAUGUUCUAACGUUGGCCCCUUACCGGGGUUGCGGACAGUGUCUGGUGGGUAGUUUGACUGGGGCGGUCUCCUCCCAAAGCGUAACGGAGGAGCACGAAGGUUAGCUAAUCCUGGUCGGACAUCAGGAGGUUAGUGCAAUGGCAUAAGCUAGCUUGACUGCGAGCGUGACGGCGCGAGCAGGUGCGAAAGCAGGUCAUAGUGAUCCGGUGGUUCUGAAUGGAAGGGCCAUCGCUCAACGGAUAAAAGGUACUCCGGGGAUAACAGGCUGAUACCGCCCAAGAGUUCAUAUCGACGGCGGUGUUUGGCACCUCGAUGUCGGCUCAUCACAUCCUGGGGCUGAAGUAGGUCCCAAGGGUAUGGCUGUUCGCCAUUUAAAGUGGUACGCGAGCUGGGUUUAGAACGUCGUGAGACAGUUCGGUCCCUAUCUGCCGUGGGCGCUGGAGAAUUGAGGGGGGCUGCUCCUAGUACGAGAGGACCGGAGUGGACGCAUCACUGGUGUUCGGGUUGUCAUGCCAAUGGCACUGCCCGGUAGCUAAAUGCGGAAGAGAUAAGUGCUGAAAGCAUCUAAGCACGAAACUUGCCCCGAGAUGAGUUCUCCCUGAGACUUUAAGUCUCCUGAAGGAACGUUAAAGACGAUGACGUUGAUAGGCCGGGUGUGUAAGCGCAGCGAUGCGUUGAGCUAACCGGUACUAAUGAACCGUGAGGCUUAACCUUACAACGCCGAAG